UCGGGAAUUUUGGGCAAUGGGGGAAACCCUGACCCAGCAACGCCGCGUGAAGGAUGAAGUAUUUCGGUAUGUAAACUUCGAAAGAAUAGGAAGAAUAAAUGACGGUACUAUUUAUAAGGUCCGGCUAACUACGUGCCAGCAGCCGCGGUAAUACGUAGGGACCAAGCGUUGUUCGGAUUUACUGGGCGUAAAGGGCGCGUAGGCGGCAUGACAAGUCACUUGUGAAAUCUUUGGGCUUAACCCAGAACGGCCAAGUGAUACUGUCGCGCUAGAGUGCAGAAGGGGCAAUCGGAAUUCUUGGUGUAGCGGUGAAAUGCGUAGAUAUCAAGAGGAACACCUGAGGUGAAGACGGGUUGCUGGGCUGACACUGACGCUGAGGCGCGAAAGCCAGGGGAGCAAACGGGAUUAGAUACCCUGGUAGUCCCUGAGCGGGCUGGCAAGGCGCAU
rnacentral:rRNA from 1 species